GACGACGCUGGCGGCGUGGAUUAGGCAUGCAAGUCGAACGGUAUCAUCCUUUCGGGGGUGAGAGAGUGGCGAACUGGUGAGUAACACGUAGGUUAUCUACCCUCAAGACGGGGACAACCCAGGGAAACUUGGGCUAAUACCGGAUGUGAGCUAUCGUGAGAUAGUUUGAAAGGUGGCUUCGGCUGCCGCUUGAGGAUGAGCCUGCGUCCUAUUAGCUAGUUGGUGAGGUAACGGCUCACCGAGGCAGUGAUAGGUAGGCGGCCUUAACGGGUGGUCGCCCACACUGGGAUUGAGAUACGGCCCAGACUCCUACGGGAGGCAGCAGUCGAGAAUAGUCUACAAUGGCCGAAAGGCUGAUAGUGCGACGCCGCGUGAACGAAGAAGCCCUUCGGGGUGUAAAGUUCUUUUAUAUGUGAGCAGUGCUUUCUAUGUGAACAGCAUGGGGAGAGAGAUAUUAGCAUAUGAAUAAGCAACGGCUAACUCCGUG
rnacentral:rRNA from 1 species